CUGUAAGCCUGUGAAGGUGUGCUGUGAGGCAUGCUGGAGGUAUCAGAAGUGCGAAUGCUGACAUAAGUAACGAUAAAGCGGGUGAAAAGCCCGCUCGCCGGAAGACCAAGGGUUCCUGUCCAACGUUAAUCGGGGCAGGGUGAGUCGACCCCUAAGGCGAGGCCGAAAGGCGUAGUCGAUGGGAAACAGGUUAAUAUUCCUGUACUUGGUGUUACUGCGAAGGGGGGACGGAGAAGGCUAUGUUGGCCGGGCGACGGUUGUCCCGGUUUAAGCGUGUAGGCUGGUUUUCCAGGCAAAUCCGGAAAAUCAAGGCUGAGGCGUGAUGACGAGGCACUACGGUGCUGAAGCAACAAAUGCCCUGCUUCCAGGAAAAGCCUCUAAGCAUCAGGUAACAUCAAAUCGUACCCCAAACCGACACAGGUGGUCAGGUAGAGAAUACCAAGGCGCUUGAGAGAACUCGGGUGAAGGAACUAGGCAAAAUGGUGCCGUAACUUCGGGAGAAGGCACGC
rnacentral:rRNA from 1 species